GAUGAAAGAACGCAGCGAAAUGCGAUAACUAAUGUGAAUUGCAGAAUUCCGUGAAUCAUCGAGUCUUUGAACGCACAUUGCGCCCCCUGGUAUUCCGGGGGGCAUGCCUGUCCGAGCGUCAUUACAACCCUCAAGCCCGGCUUGUGUAAUGGGCGGCCGUCUCUCCCCCCGGGGGGAGACGCCCCCGAAACUCAGUGGGGAUGUCGCGAUACCGAAGCCUCAGCUAAUGGGUAAACCACAGCUGCAAUGGCCGCGGCCGGCGUCCGCCUUCCACGGUCCGUCCGCCUAGCGCGGGCGGCCUUCUCAAGGUUGACCUCGGAUCAGGUAGGGAUACCCGCUGAACUUAAGCAUAUCAAUAAGCGGAGGA
rnacentral:misc_RNA from 1 species